rnacentral:rRNA from 1 species
GCUCAGGACGAACGCUGGCGGCGCGCCUAACACAUGCAAGUCGAACGGAGCUUGCACUUCUGAAGUUUUCGGAUGGACGAGGUACAAGCUUAGUGGCGAACGGGUGAGUAACACGUGAAGAACCUGCCCUUCAGUGGGGGACAACAGUUGGAAACGACUGCUAAUACCGCAUAAGACCACAGUACCGCAUGGUACAGUGAUCAAAGGAUUUAUUCGCUGAAGGAUGGCUUCGCGUCCGAUUAGGUAGUUGGUGAGGUAACGGCCCACCAAGCCUACGAUCGGUAGCCGGACUGAGAGGUUGAUCGGCCACAUUGGGACUGAGACACGGCCCAGACUCCUACGGGAGGCAGCAGUGGGGAAUAUUGCACAAUGGAGGAAACUCUGAUGCAGCGACGCCGCGUGAGGGAAGAAGGUCUUCGGAUUGUAAACCUCUGUCUUCAGGGACGAUAAUGACGGUACCUGAGGAGGAAGCACCGGCUAACUACGUGCCAGCAGCCGCGGUAAAACGUAGGGUGCAAGCGUUGUCCGGAAUUACUGGGUGUAAAGGGAGCGCAGGCGGGAAGGUAAGUUGGAUGUUUAAUCUACGGGCUCAACCCGUAUCAGCAUUCAAAACUAUUUUUCUUGAGUAGUGCAGAGGUAGGCGGAAUUCCCGGUGUAGCGGUGGAAUGCGUAGAUAUCGGGAGGAACACCAGUGGCGAAGGCGGCCUACUGGGCACUAACUGACGCUGAGGCUCGAAAGCAUGGGUAGCAAACAGGAUUAGAUACCCUGGUAGUCCAUGCCGUAAACGAUGAUUACUAGGUGUGGGAGGAUUGACCCCUUCCGUGCCGCAGUUAACACAAUAAGUAAUCCACCUGGGGAGUACGACCGCAAGGUUGAA